AGUGAACGCUGGCGGCAGGCCUAAUACAUGCAAGUCGAACGGCAGCACAGCAGAGCUUGCUCUGUGGGUGGCGAGUGGCGGACGGGUGAGGAAUACGUGGGAAUCUGCCCAGUCGUGGGGGAUAACGUAGGGAAACUUACGCUAAUACCGCAUGCGCCCUUCGGGGGAAAGCCGGGGACCUUCGGGCCUGGCGCGAUUGGAUGAGCCCACGUCGGAUUAGCUAGUUGGCGGGGUAAAGGCCACCAAGGCGACGAUCCGUAGCUGGUCUGAGAGGAUGAUCAGUCACACUGGAACUGAGACACGGUCCAGACUCCUACGGGAGGCAGCAGUAGGGAAUAUUGGACAAUGGGCGCAAGCCUGAUCCAGCCAUGCCGCGUGAGUGAAGAAGGCCCUCGGGUUGUAAAG
rnacentral:rRNA from 1 species